rnacentral:rRNA from 1 species
UGUCAGCAGCCGCGGUAAUACGGAGGGUGCAAGCGUUAUCCGGAUUCAUUGGGUUUAAAGGGUGCGCAGGCGGGCUUGUCAGUCAGUGGUGAAAUCCUACGGCUUAACCGUGGAACUGCCAUUGAUACUGCAAGUCUUGAGUAUAGUUGAAGUGGGCGGAAUGUAGCAUGUAGCGGUGAAAUGCAUAGAUAUGCUACAGAACACCAAUUGCGAAGGCAGCUCACUAAGUUAUAACUGACGCUCAUGCACGAAAGCGUGGGGAUCAAACAGGAUUAGAUACCCUGGUAGUCCACGCUGUAAACGAUGAUCACUCGUUGUUGGCGAUACACAGUCAGCGACCAAGCGAAAGUGAUAAGUGAUCCACCUGGGGAGUACGAUCGCAAGGUUGAAACUCAAAGAAAUUGACGG